UGGAGGUAGUGACAAUAAAUCACAAUGCGGGACUUUUAGUUUUGCAAUUGGAUUGAGAACAAUGUAAAAGAGUUAUCGAUAAACAAUUGGAGGGCAAGUCUGGUGCCAGCAGCCGCGGUAAUUCCAGCUCCAAUAGCGUAUAUUAACGUUGUUGCAGUUAAAAAGCUCGUAGUUGAAGUGUGGGGUGAAAGAAUGUGUGUUCAUUUUGAAUGUGCGUUUGCUUACCCCCUCUCCAAUGUGUUAUUAUGGGUAUUAAUUUACUUGUAAUAGCUAUUGGUCAUUUACUGUGAGAAAAUUAGAGUGUUCAAAGCAGGCAUUUGCUUGAAUAUAUUAGCAUGGAAUAAUAAUAAAAGGCUUUUGUGGUCGAUUUAAUUGGUUUGUUCAUGAAAGCAAGAUUAAUAGGGACAGUUGGGGGUAUUCAUAUUCAAUAGUUAGAGGUGAAAUUCUCGGAUUUAUGGAAGAUGAACAAGUGCGAAAGCAA
rnacentral:rRNA from 1 species